rnacentral:lncRNA from 1 species
UUUUUUUUAAUUUUUUUUUAAUAUUUAUUUUUCAGUUAUCAGUGGACACAACAUCUUUGUUUGUAUGUGGUGCUGAGGAUCGAACCUGGGCCGCACGCAUGCCAGGCGAGUACGCUACCACCCGAGCCACAUCCCCAGCCCCAUGACUCUCAAUCUUACUCCUGGAACACAGUAAGCACUGUGCCUUCUUAUCUGCAGGUGAUAGCUCCAAAGCCUUCUGAUUCUACCAGUUGUUUCUGAGGUCUUUAGGACCUUGCUUCUUGUGUCUCUCCAUUCCCCAGUGCCUAGUUGUUUUUAUUGUAUGUGGAAAAUUAAAUACCUUGAGGCCUAGGAUGAUGUCAUUCUCCUCCAGUUGGUGCCUGGGGUUAGCUAUCCAGACUCUAAGAAGGCUCCAGAUGACUGGGAGCCAGCUUGCAUCGGAGAAGGCCACAGUGGUUCCUCAAGGUCUCAGACCCAAACAAGGUGAGCUCUAAACUCCUUUUUUUUUUUUUUGGUACCAGGGAUUGAAUCCAGGGUGCUUAAUCACUGAGCCACAUCCCCAGUCCUUUUUGUUUUUUAAAACUUUGAGACGGGAUCUUGGGAUCUCUGAGUUACUUAGGGCCUUGCUAAAUUGCUGAUGCAGGCUUUGAUCCUCCUGCCUCAGCCUCCAGAGUGGCUGGGAUUGCCGGCCUGCACCAGUGCCCACCAGGCCUUAUUUUCCUUAUAAAGGUCUCACAUGUCUUUUGUUGGGUUAAUUCCUAGAAAUUUCAGACUUGUGGUGCUAACAUAAAUGUGGUCUUUUAGGGAUGGCGUUUCUGUUUGUUGUUGUACAGGAAUGUGCUGCGUUUUGUCUGGGUGUACAGCAGAGCACCUUUAGGAGCUUGUUAGUUUCUUGGCUACUUUUCCUUUCUAUGUUGGCUGCGUAGCGUCUUCUGCCCAACAGCAGGCAAGGUGACAGUGGGAUGCCCCAUCAGGUUUGAUUUGAAAGGAAACACUUUGAACAUUUUACCAUUAAGUAUAAUGCUUGCAAAGGAUUUUGGAAGGUAGCCUUUAUCAGAUUUAAGAUUUUAAAUUU